UCAACUUCUUCAUCAGUUUGAAAAUAAGGCAUGCAGGUGAGGCUCAUUGCUUGGAUAGGAAAAUGAAGACAUUGUUUAAUGUGUUGAGCCAGUUGUAGCCUCCUUCUGCCUGAGGAAAGAGUACAGAUAUUACAGAAAUGCGUCCAACAGUUUCGCCUCAGUGUUGAUCCCCAGAGAAAGCUGCCAUGAAAUCGGCUGAAAGGGAGAAGAAACAGAUUCCACUGUGAUCUCAGAAAGCCAGAGAGGCCAAUGGAAAAAUCCCCAGCCCAAAAAUAAUUGAAUCUGGGCUUGGCUUUCCCUUCAUCUGACCGGCCAAACUAACACGUUUUGCCUCCUUUUCCAGUC